rnacentral:rRNA from 1 species
GGGGGGGCUUCAUGAGCCUGGUUUUGAGGCCAGCUUGCUGGUACCCGGACUGGAGGAGUGAUGUUCGCCCUGGGUGUUGGGCAAGGCAUACGGGCUCGGUUGGGUGCCGAGCUGGCGGUCGGARGCGGUCACAUGUGACACGUGCCGCGCAGUCAGUUCGGUCCUGGCCGAGCUCACAAGCCCGUUCUCGGUGUAAAAGCUGGUCAUCUAUCCGACCCGUCUUGAAACACGGACCAAGGAGUUUAUCGUGUGCGCGAGUCAUUGGGCGUUGAAAACCCAAAGGCGUAAUGAAAGUGAAGAAGGCGGCUUGCCGUCGAUCGUGCGAUCCCGGGUCCCUCGGGGCCCGGGCGCAGCAUGGCCCCAUCCCGAUUGCUUGCAAUGGGGUGGAG